AGAACGAACGCUGGCGGCAUGCCUAACACAUGCAAGUCGAACAAGACCUUCGGGUCUAGUGGCGCACGGGUGCGUAACGCGUGGGAAUCUGCCCUUGGGUCCGGAAUAACAGUGAGAAAUUACUGCUAAUACCGGAUGAUGACGUAAGUCCAAAGAUUUAUCGCCCAGGGAUGAGCCCGCGUAAGAUUAGGUAGUUGGUGGGGUAAAGGCCUACCAAGCCGACGAUCUUUAGCUGGUCUGAGAGGAUGAUCAGCCACACUGGGACUGAGACACGGCCCAGACUCCUACGGGAGGCAGCAGUGGGGAAUAUUGGACAAUGGGCGAAAGCCUGAUCCAGCAAUGCCGCGUGAGUGAUGAAGGCCCUAGGGUUGUAAAGCUCUUUACCCGGGAUGAUAAUGACAGUACCGGGAGAAUAACGCCCCGGCUAACUCCGCGCCAGCAGCCGC
rnacentral:rRNA from 1 species